rnacentral:misc_RNA from 1 species
CGAAAUGCGAUAAGUAAUGUGAAUUGCAGAAUUCAGUGAAUCAUCGAAUCUUUGAACGCACCUUGCGCUCCUUGGUAUUCCUUGGAGCAUGCCUGUUUGAGUAUCAUGAAAUCUUCAAAGUAAAUCUUUUGUUAACUCAAUUGGUUUCUACUUUGGUAUUGGAGGUCUUUGCAGCUUCACACCUGCUCCUCUUUGUUCAUUAGCUGGAUCUCAGUGUUAUGCUUGGUUCCACUCGGCGUGAUAAGUUAUCUAUCGCUGAGGACACUGUAAAAGGUGGCCAAGGUAAAUUCAGAUGAACCGCUUCUAAUAGUCCAUUGACUUGGACAAUACUUUUAUGAUCUGAUCUCAAAUCAGGUAGGACUACCCGCUGAACUUAAGC